rnacentral:rRNA from 1 species
CCUACGGGUGGCAGCAGUGAGGAAUAUUGGUCAAUGGACGAGAGUCUGAACCAGCCAAGUAGCGUGAAGGAUGACUGCCCUAUGGGUUGUAAACUUCUUUUAUAUGGGAAUCAAACGUUCCACGAGUGGGAUUUUGUAUGUACCAUAUGAAUAAGGAUCGGCUAACUCCGUGCCAGCAGCCGCGGUAAUACGGAGGAUCCGAGCGUUAUCCGGAUUUAUUGGGUUUAAAGGGAGCGUAGGUGGAUUGUUAAGUCAGUUGUGAAAGUUUGCGGCUCAACCGUAAAAUUGCAGUUGAAACUGGCAGUCUUGAGUACAGUAGAGGUGGGCGGAAUUCGUGGUGUAGCGGUGAAAUGCUUAGAUAUCACGAAGAACUCCGAUUGCGAAGGCAGUUCACUGGACUGCAACUGACACUGAGGCUCGAAAGUGUGGGUAUCAAACAGGAUUAGAUACCCUGGUAGUC